rnacentral:rRNA from 1 species
GAUGAACGCUGGCGGCGUGCCUAAUACAUGCAAGUCGAGCGAACAGACGAGGAGCUUGCUCCUCUGACGUUAGCGGCGGACGGGUGAGUAACACGUGGAUAACCUACCUAUAAGACUGGGAUAACUUCGGGAAACCGGAGCUAAUACCGGAUAAUAUAUUGAACCGCAUGGUUCAAUAGUGAAAGACGGUUUUGCUGUCACUUAUCGAUGGAUCCGCGCCGCAUUAGCUAGUUGGUAAGGUAACGGCUUACCAAGGCAACGAUGCGUAUCCGACCUGAGAGGGUGAUCGGCCACACUGGAACUGAGACACGGUCCAGACUCCUACGGGAGGCAGCAGUAGGGAAUCGUCCGCAAUGGGCGAAAGCCUGACGGAGCAACGCCGCGUGAGUGAUGAAGGUCUUCGGAUCGUAAAACUCUGUUAUUAGGGAAGAACAAAUGUGUAAGUAACUAUGCACGUCUUGACGGUACCUAAUCAGAAAGCCACGGCUAACUACGUG